UUAACGACUCUCGGCAACGGAUAUCUCGGCUCUUGCAUCGAUGAAGAACGUAGCGAAAUGCGAUACUUGGUGUGAAUUGCAGAAUCCCGUGAACCAUCGAGUCUUUGAACGCAAGUUGCGCCCGAGGUCACUAGAUCGAGGGCACGUCUGCCUGGGCGUCACAC
rnacentral:rRNA from 11 species